rnacentral:snoRNA from 1 species
CACCAAAACUUCUAGUCAGGAUGUUUUCCAUUCCUUUGAGAAUACUUAAAAAUACGAAGAUGUCUGUUAAAGUUUUGGAAGAUUAAUACUACUCGCUUUCUUCUGUAGUGUCCGUUUUGGACACAUUUUGAAGAAUUAGGUGGGUAAUUUUUGUUUUGAAAAUAUGCCACCGCUUUCAGAGUAGCGAGGGCUCUAAGAGUUGAGUUUGGGAUUGCAACACCAGAUUGGAGAUUCUUCUUCCAUUUGGCAUGCAACAGGUUCCCACACUCGUAGUAAGAGGCCUCACAAUU